rnacentral:rRNA from 1 species
AGUUUGAUCCUGGCUCAGAGUGAACGCUGGCGGUAGGCCUAACACAUGCAAGUCGAACGGCAGCACAAAGGAGCUUGCUCCUUGGGUGGCGAGUGGCGGACGGGUGAGGAAUACAUCGGAAUCUACUCUGUCGUGGGGGAUAACGUAGGGAAACUUACGCUAAUACCGCAUACGACCUACGGGUGAAAGCAGGGGAUCUUCGGACCUUGCGCGAUUGAAUGAGCCGAUGUCGGAUUAGCUAGUUGGCGGGGUAAAGGCCCACCAAGGCGACGAUCCGUAGCUGGUCUGAGAGGAUGAUCAGCCACACUGGAACUGAGACACGGUCCAGACUCCUACGGGAGGCAGCAGUGGGGAAUAUUGGACAAUGGGCGCAAGCCUGAUCCAGCCAUACCGCGUGGGUGAAGAAGGCCUUCGGGUUGUAAAGCCCUUUUGUUGGGAAAGAAAUCCAUCUGGUUAAUACCCGGGUGGGAUGACGGUACCCAAAGAAUAAGCACCGGCUAACUUCGUGCCAGCAGCCGCGGUAA